AGCAAACAGGAUUAGAUACCCUGGUAGUCCACUUCUUAAACGAUGUCGAGUUGCAGCCGAUGCCCACAAGGAGUGGCUCGUCGGCCUAACCCGAUAAAUCUAACGGCCGGGGAGUACGGCCGCAAGGUUAAAACUCAAAUGAAUUGACGGGGGCCCGCACAAGCGGUGGAGCAUGUGGUUUAAUUCGAUGCAACGCGAAGAACCUUACCUGGUCUUGACAUCCACAGAACUUUCCAGAGAUGGAUUGGUGCCUUCGGGAACUGUGAGACAGGUGCUGCAUGGCUGUCGUCAGCUCGUGUUGUGAAAUGUUGGGUUAAGUCCCGCAACGAGCGCAACCCUUAUCCUUUGUUGCCAGCGGUUAGGCCGGGAACUCAAAGGAGACUGCCAGUGAUAAACUGGAGGAAGGUGGGGAUGACGUCAAGUCAUCAUGGCCCUUACGACCAGGGCUACACACGUGCUACAAUGGCAUAUACAAAGAGAAGCGACCUCGCGAGAGCAAGCGGACCUCAUAAAGUAUGUCGUAGUCCGGAUUGGAGUCUGCAACUCGACUCCAUGAAGUCGGAAUCGCUAGUAAUCGUAGAUCAGAAUGCUACGGUGAAUACGUUCCCGGGCCUUGUACACACCGCCCGUCACACCAUGGGAGUGGGUUGCAAAAGAAGUAGGUAGCUUAACCUUCGGGAGGGCGCUUACCACUUUGUGAUUCAUGACUGGGGUGAAGUCGUAACAAGGUAACCGUAGGGGAACCUGCGGUUG
rnacentral:rRNA from 1 species